GACGAACGCUGGCGGCGUGCUUAACACAUGCAAGUCGAGCGAUGAAGUUCCUUCGGGAAUGGAUUAGCGGCGGACGGGUGAGUAACACGUGGGUAACCUGCCUCAUAGAGGGGAAUAGCCUGUCGAAAGGAAGAUGAAUACCGCAUAAGAUUGUAGCUUCGCAUGAAGCAGCAAUUAAAGGAGUAAUCCGCUAUGAGAUGGACCCGCGUCGCAUUAGCUAGUUGGUGAGGUAACGGCUCACCAAGGCGACGAUGCGUAGCCGACCUGAGAGGGUGAUCGGCCACAUUGGGACUGAGACACGGCCCAGACUCCUGCGGGAGGCAGCAGUGGGGAAUAUUGCACAAUGGGGGAAACCCUGAUGCAGCAACGCCGCGUGAGUGAUGACGGUCUUCGGAUUGUAAAACUCUGUCUUCAGGGACGAUAAUGACGGUACCUGAGGAGGAAGCCACGGCUAACUACGUGCCAGCCGCUGCAGUAACAC
rnacentral:rRNA from 1 species